GGAUCUCUUGGUUCUGGCAUCGAUGAAGAACGCAGCGAAAUGCGAUAAGUAGUGUGAAUUGCAGAAUUUAGUGAAUCAUCGAAUCUUUGAACGCACAUUGCGCCCCUUGGUAUUCCAUGGGGCAUGCCUGUUCGAGCGUCAUUUGUACCCUCAAGCUAUGCUUGGUGUUGGGUGUUUGUCCUAUCCAUUGCGACUGGACUCGCCUUAAAGAUAUUGGCAGCCGGCAUUUUGGCCUUGGAGCGCAGCACAAUUUGCGAGUCCAAGCCGGAAUACUGACGUCCAGAUAAGCUUUUUACCACGUCUGACCUCGGAUCAGGUAGGGAUACCCGCUGAACUUAAGCAUAUCAAUAAGCGGAGGA
rnacentral:rRNA from 1 species